CCUACGGGGUGCAGCAGUAGGGAAUAUUGCUCAAUGGGGGAAACCCUGAAGCAGCAACGCCGCGUGAGGGAUGAAGGUUUUCGGAUUUUAAACUCCUUUUUGUAAGGGAGAUAAUGACGGUAAGUAACGAAUAAGCACCGGCCAACUCCGUGCAAGCAGCCGCGGUAAUACGCAGGGAUCAGGCGUUACUCGGAAUCACUGGGCGUAAAGGGAGCGUAGGCGGGAUAGCAAGUCAGAUGUGAAAUCCUAUGGCUUAACCAUAGAACUGCAUUUGAAACUGUUAUUCUAGAGUAUGGGAGAGGUAGGUGGAAUUCUUGGUGUAGGGGUAAAAUCCGUAGAGAUCAAGAGGAAUACUCAUUGCGAAGGCGACCUGCUAGAACAUAACUGACGCUGAUGCGCGAAAGCGUGGGGAGCAAACAGGAUUAGAUACCCUGGUAGUC
rnacentral:rRNA from 1 species